AACCUAUGGAGAGGGCACUUUCGCAGAAGGUCCUUGUAUCUCUCCCAUGUAUUGUAGAGUGUUUCUAAAUCCAUUUGUAUAAAAGGAGAGAUAUCAUUACGUAAUUU
rnacentral:snoRNA from 1 species